GCUUGUCUCAAAGAUUAAGCCAUGCAUGUCUAAGUAUAAGCAUUAUACAGUGAAACUGCGAAUGGCUCAUUAUAUCAGUUAUAGUUUAUUUGAUGGUCCUUGCUACUUGGAUAACCGUAGUAAUUCUAGAGCUAAUACAUGCAUAAAUCCCCGACUGUUUGGAAGGGGUGUAUUUAUUAGAUGGAAACCAAUUCGGGGCAACCCGGCUCAUGGUGAUUCAUAAUAACUUUCGGAUCGACCUUUCGGUCGAUGCAUCAUUCAAGUUUCUGCCCUAUCAGUUUUGGAUGGUAGGGUAUUGGCCUACCAUGACUUUAACGGGUAACGGAGAAUUAGGGUUCGAUUCCGGAGAGGGAGCCUGAGAAAUGGCUACCACAUCCAAGGAAGGCAGCAGG
rnacentral:rRNA from 1 species